GCGUUCAUCAUCAUCAUCAUCAUCAUCAUCAUGUCCACGGCGGAUCACACAGUCAUGCACGGCAUCUGGGGCAGGAACGCGAUGGAGACGCCGAAGAACAAGGGCUUCAGUCUGAUCAGGAUGAUGUCUCCGAAUUACAGGAAGGAGAACAAGAAUCUCGCACAGCAGCAUCACAACAACAUGCCCUUCAUGAUUCACUGCCACAUCGGUAAAGAGAUCAAACACAUAUGCAGCAACUGCAGCCGCGGCAGCCACGCGCAGCACGCAGAGGAGGUGGAGAAACUGGCCUCCAUCCACCCCGAGUCCCUGGUGUCCGGAUCACACGCGGCACCCAUCCACUGCAGGAGCAGGUUUGCCACUCUGGGACGCCUCUUCAAACCCUGGAAGUGGAGGAAGAAGCAGAGCGAGAAGUUCAAGCAGAGGUCAACCGCUCUGGAGAGGAAGAUGUCUGUGCGUCAGAGCCGAGACGAGCUGAUCAAGCGAGGAGUGCUGAAGGAGAUCUUUGAGAAAGACUCCAGAGCUACGGCUGUGACCCCAGAGAACAGACUGCUGUCUGACUGUGAGAGGACCGCAGAGGACAGACAGAGGACCGCCACUGUUGAGUUCCGUGCGGCUCUGGACGGUGGACUCCGUGCUCAGGAAAACACGCUCAAGUCGCUCACACUUCCUCCCAAGAAAACCGUCACCUUCCCCAGUGACCUUCAGGAGCCACCGGCCAAACCUCAGCUCAUCCACAAACAGCCUCCUGCCCUGCCGCCCAAACCCUUCUCCAGACUGACCAAUCACAGCACAGACCCGUGUCAGACGCUGAAGGUGUCGUGUCUGCAGGGAAAGCCGUCUCCUCCUCUUCCUCCUAAGAAGCUGAUGCUGUACUCGUCCUCCUCCUCGGCGCUCUCGUUCACUCCCUGCAGUCACCCGUCGGACCGCAUCAUCGACGAGCUGCAGAAGGCUCUGGCGCUCGCCAUGCAGAGACUCGACAGCUCAGCGGUUCACAGCGCUCCUCUCCGGGCCGUGGUGAUCGACUGUGAUGAUGAUAAAGAGAACAUCCCCAACGAGUCUGACUACGAGGACCUGCCCAGCAUGUACAAGGAUGAAGAGCACGAGGAGGAGGAAGAGGAGGAUGACGACGAUUCGCUCUUUACAAGCACUCUGGCGCUGAAGAUCUUGAGGAAGGACUCUCUGGCGGUGAAGCUGAGUAACCGGCCGUCUCCGAGAGAACUGCAGGAGAAGAACAUCUUACCUGUUCAGACGGACGAGGAGCGACUGCAGUCCAGACAGCUGAUCGGCACCAAACUCACCCGGAGACUGAGUCAGAGACCCACGGCUGAAGAGCUGGAGCAGAGGAACAUCCUCAAACCUCGUAAUGAGCAGGAGCAGAUGGAGGAGAAGAGAGAGAUCAGACACAGACUCUCACGCAAGCUGAGUCAGAGGCCGACGGUGGAGGAGCUGCGGUACGCUAAGAUUCUGAUCCGCUUCUGUGAUUACGUGGAGGUGGCGGACGCUCAGGACUACGACAGACGCAGUGACAAACCCUGGACCAGACUCACAGCGGCCGACAAGGUCAGGCUGCCAUCAGGAAAGAGCUGAAUGACUUCAAGAGCAAUGAGAUGGAGGUACACGAGUCCAGCCGUCAUCUGACCAGGUUUCACCGGCCGUAGAGGAACAUCGCUGAUGGUCAGAUCACGAGCUGGACACUUCUGCACAGAGACCUCAUCAUCAUCAUCCUCCUCCUCCUCAGAUCGGUGGAUUCUCAGUGUGAGACGCUGCUUCAGGACGCUGGGAAUCCUCUGAAUCCUGGAGCUUCUGGAGGAUGAUGUUCAGAUGUUUAGACUCUCGUUUCACCUCGGAGACUGUCUGUGCUCUUCCACAUGUGUGUGUGUGGAGGGAUGAUGACUGAUUGAAGCUGUUUGCGUUGCUUCACAUCAUUUGCAUUCUUGUUUUCUCAUGCAAAUCAAGCGUUUGUCAUAAAGCCUGUCAGCAGAUGUCCUGAAGAACAUUGUCAUGUGUUAUUCAUGUUUUUCCUUUCUUCUGUCUGCUAUUUUUGUUUUAUUGAAUGUAUUUUUGAGUUCAGUGUAUUUUAACAUCUUUUUUCAGAGUUUUAGAAGUCCUUUUCAGGCACCUGUCAUCCUUUCUUCUGAAGUCCUCUUUUAAUAAACCAGAUGAGUGUUUAAUUAUGA